CGGUCACAGAAUGUUUUUUCGCUAAAAUGAACCCUGGGGUUAUAGAUAUGGUCUGUUCAUACAGAGUAUUGUUGCACUGCUCCAAUGUGCUUGUUGACAGACUGAAACCACUUGCUUGCAGUUCAUAAGGCUUACUUCUUGACAGCAGGCAGCUACAAAAUGGAAGGUCAACAAAACCAGUAUACAUUUGUGUAUUUGAAAAACAAGAAAGAAACACCAGAAAAUAUGCAAAGACAGAAGAACAAGGGAACUUGAAUAAAAAGAAAACGUUUAAAGAUAUGAAUUCAGGAUAUACUUGGAAACUAAAUUUAUUUUGAGAACAGCAGUGAUUGACUUAUGGAAGGGAAUCUCCGCCAGGACAUGCAUGCUUCUAAAUGACAUUGUUAUGUUAUUUACUUACAUAUGCGUUCUCCAACAUUGCAACUGCAUUUUAGGGAAUUUCCGCCAGAACAUGCAUGCUGCUAAAUGACAAAUGCAUGUUGCCUUGUGUUAUUCGUUUUAAACUAAAUGCAACAUCCAUGCGUCUUUGUGUUACCUUCCAUCCGUUAGUGGCACAUACCUUGCAUCUUUCGUCACUGCAUGUAUGUAAAACGCAUAUUCUUGCGUGUAAAUGGCAAAUGCAUCCAUUGUGUGGCAUAUUAAAAUGUUUAUGUGAACAAGUUCUAAGUGUUUUGUACGUUUUACUUUCUGUAAUUGAUUAAAUUGUUUAUUGCAAUGAUUGAAAUUUAUGCAAGGCUAAAACAGUGCUAAGUAAGCACUAAGCAGCACGAAGUUAAUCAAAUGCGACUUUAACAUUUGUAAUAUGAAAUUCGUAGAAAGCUGGGAACCAGAAUUUCCGGCAGUUUCCGUAAAAUCAGUAAACCAUGAACGGUGUUUUAGUAAAAAAGUACUCAUAAUUUCCAGCUGUCCAGGGACGUAAUUUCCACCGAAAACAACACAAGUAUACACGGGUAAGUUUAGACUCUCUCACCGUUUAACCCACGGAAACUACCGAACACGUGAAUUUGCUGUCGAGAGUGGUCUCCCGUGUAUACUAAUUUGCGCUAAAAUGUUUGCUUUUUGUUGGUUCCCUGUAAUGUUGUAAUGCACUACCGUGCUUAAAUUUUUGUUAUACUGCAAGUUUAAAUAUUUAUUAAAGCCAUGUGUUUUAGUAUAUUAUUUUUGCCGGGAAACUGUAAUAUAAACAAGAACCAAGUGGUUGCAAACAUCACUAAUGUUAAAUCUAAAAAGCAGUAACAAUCAAGUUAUGAAAAUUUCGGAAUAUUCACAAGUCACAACGUUGUUAAUAGCUCGUUACAUUCAGUAGGAACAACGUCAAAUACGCGUAAGAAAACAUAGAAUACAGUUACUAACAGCAUGAGUAUACAUUUCAAUAUUGCAGUAAGCAAACAAAAAGGUUGAACGCACUUGUCAAUUACAUGCAAGAAUAACCGAUAUUCAUGAAAGGACUGUUUUCUUAGCAUUAAGAAGCAUUAAAGAUGAAUUUCUUGUAAGGCAAAUGUAAGAAACUAAAAUGCAGUUGCAAUGUUGCAGAACGCAUAUGUAAGUAAAUAACAUAGCAAUGUCAUUUAGCAGCAUGCAUGUCCUGGCGGAGAUUCCCUUCCAUAUUGACUAAGCUCUGUUACUUUAAGAGAUAAAGUACUAUUUUCACAUUGGUUUUGUUAUGCUCAUAAAACAUACUAAAAUUUCAUUAAUCUUAUUUUAGAUAAUUGUUUUCUGGUUAAUUUUGCAAAGGUUGUCUACUAAUUAACAUAAUUAUAUUUAAGUAAUAUUUUCCAUGAAAUUUUAAAGAGAAUGUUUUGUUAUAUCCCGUAAGCUUGUCUGUCUUACAGUUGGUUUUCAUGGUUUCCGGAUGAUAACUCAUGAAAAGCUUGACUGAUUAAAAUAUUUUUUGGUACACAGGUGUAACAUCAAAAAUACAGGUCAAGUUCUACUUUGGGGUCAGUAGGUCAAAGGUCAAGGUCUCAGUCACCCUGAACAGUUAGAUGGUUUCCGGAUGAUAACUUGAGAACGCUUUGGCCUAGGAUAAUAGCUUUUGUAACACAGGUGUAAUAUGAUAAAAUACAGGUUGUUUGACUUUGAGGUCAUUAGAUCAAAGGUCAAGAUCACAGUGACCCUGAACAGUUGAACCGUUUCCGUAUGAUAACUUGAGACCUUGAUCCUAGGAUGAUAAAGUUUGGUACACAGGUGUAACAUCAUGAAAUACAGGUCAAGUUCGAUUUUGAGGUCAGUAGGUCAAAGUUCAAGGACACAGUAACCCUGUUAAACUGUUUCUGGAUGAUAACUUGUGAACGCUUUGGCCUAGGAUGAUAAAUUUUGGUACACAGGUGUAUAAUGAAAUACAGGUCAAGUUCGACUUUUGAGGUUAGAUGGUCAAAGGUCAAGGUCACAAUAACGCAAAACAGUGGAACAGUUUUCGGAUUAUAACUUGAGAAUGCUUGAGCCUAGGAUCAUGAAAAUUGUAAGGGAGGUUGAUUAUGACCAGCAUGUCACCCCUAAUGAUGUUGAGGUCACAGCUCAAGGUCACACUGACCUGGUUCUUUAAAACGGCCUCUGGACAAUUACUUAAGAAUGUUUGGGACGAGGAUCACAAAAUUUAGUACAAGGUUGGUCUUGACCAGCAAAUGACCCGUAUUGAUUUUGAGUUCUAAAGGUCAGGAUGACCCGGAACAUUUAAACCUUUUCCAUACAACAGCUUGAAAACACUUGGGCGGAGGGUCAUGAAACUUCAUAUGGAGAUUGAUCUGGACCAGCAGAUCUGCGUCGUCCGACAACAUUUGCCUUGUGAACACUCUAGAGGCCACAUUUGUGAUCCAAUCUUUAUGAAACUUGGUCAGACUUCGGUCUUGAGGGGUCAAAACCAAGGUCAGUAGGUCAGAUCAAAAGUGAAGCUUGCGAACACUGUAGAGACCAUAUUUUUUGGACCCAAUUUUUAUGAAACUUGGUCAGACUGUUAGUCUUGAUGAUCUCUAGGUCAAGACCGAAACUGGCUCAUGUGAGGUCAGUAGGUAAGAUCAAAGGAAAGCUUGUGAACACUCUAGAGACCACAGCUUUGAUCCAAUCUUUAUGAAUUUUAAUCAGAAUGUGAGUCUUGAUGAUUUCUAGGUCAAGUUCAAAACUGGGUUAUGUGGGGUCUAAAACUAGGUCAGCAGGUCAGAUCAAAGGAAAAGCUUGUGAACACUUUAGAGACCACAUUUGUGACAUAAUCCUCAUGCGACUUAGUCAGAAUGUUAGCCUUAAUGAUCUCUAGAUCAAGUUUGAAACUGAGUUAUGUGGUGUCAACAACUAGGUCAGUAGGUCAGAUCAAAGGAAAAGAUUGUGAACACGCUAGAGACCACAUUUUUGACCUAAUCUUUAUGAAACUUGUACAGAAUGUUAGUCUUGAUGAUCUCUAGUCUAGUUCGAAACUGGGUCGUGUAGAGGACAUGUGUGGUCAAAAACUAGGUCAUCUGGUCAAAUCAAAGGAAAAGCUUGUGGACAUUUUAGAGGCCACAGUUGUAAUUCAAUCUUUUUGAAACUGGGUCAGAAUGUUUGUUUUAAUCAUUUCUAGGUCAAGUUUGAAUCGAGGUCAUGUAGGGUCAAAAACUAGGUCACUAGGCCAGAUCAAAGGAAAAUGUUUUCAACACUCUAGAGAGCACAACUUAGUUUGAAACUCAUGAGAAUUAGUCAGAAUGUUUGUUUUGAUAAUCUGUAGGUCAAGUUCCAAUCUGGGUCAUAUGGGGUCAAAAACUAGGUCACCUGGUCUAAUCAAGCGAAAAGCUUGUGAACACUCUAGAGGCCACAGUACAAAUUGUAACCAAAUCUUUAUGACAUUUAAUCAGAAUGUUUGUCUUGAUGAUCUUUAGGUCAAGUUCAACUCUUGGUCAUGUGGGAUCAAAAACUAGAUCAGUAGGCCGGAUCAACUGAGGGAUAUAUAGGGCUCUCUUGUUUAUUUGUUUUGGUUUUGUUGCAAGAGAAAUGGUACAUUGUAGAAUACAGAUUAAAGCAAGCCACAUUAUCUUUAUUUUGACAAUACUUAUUUCAAGCCCGACAGAAGCAUUCAGUACUGUUAGUAAAAGUUGUUUUUCACAGUUCAGCUUUAUUUCAUGUAUGGAUAAAACAAAUUAUGUGAUCUGUGAUCAUUAUAAAUGUGUAUAUAGAUAAAACUUAAACAUGUGGACAGUUUUUUUCAAUAAAUAAAGUGUGGCGCAA